AUGCUGUCCUGCCAAGACCUGAGCUUUGCAGGAGGGCAGCGCUAUGACUACUCCGCCUCCACGUCAGCUGACGGCAGUGUUGACGUUUCCACAGCAGCGCUCGUCUCCCUCUGGGACGCCGGUCCCCUGGACAACGCUGCCCGCCAGCACGAGCCGCCUCGGCGGGGUAAGACCUGCAUUAUGCCGCGACCAGCGGCGCGAGAGGCUUCCCGCCUUGACAAACUGGAGUUUUUCCAUCUCCAGUGUCAUCGGCCCAUCUGGCCUGACCAACUGUCACCUCAACUUCAACGAAACAAACAGCUUCAAGAUACCCUAAUGCAAAGAGAAGAAGAGCUGGCCAGACUUCAAGAAGAGAACAACAAGCUCAAGGAGUUUUUAAACUCAUCAUAUGUUAAGUCUUUAGAGGAAAAAACAAAGAGACUCCUUCCUAACUGCAAGGUUCCCGAUGGUCCAAGACAUCGAAAGAGAACUUAUGAUGAUUUCCAGAACCUAAGCAAGUUACUUCAGAACGGUGAGGGGAAGCAGACUUGCCGCAAUCUCUCUUUGGAAUUUUGCUCCACUGAAGAUUUGGCGGCCACCCCACCUCUAGACUCAUGGAUACUAGAAACUCUUGGCCUGAGAGACGAGAACACCGUUGACCCAGAACACAGUUUCAGAACCCCUUCUUUCAGCUGUCCAACCCCUACAGAAGAUCCUUACAGUACAACAAAUGUGAACAGUGCAGUCGGCUUCAGCCCUAAUGUUGAGACAUGCUGCGAUUACAGCUGCAUCGUAGAGUCAUCGAGCAACUGCAGUCUGGACACCUCCAGUGACUACAGCACCUCCCAGAGCUUGGGUUCAGAUUAUUCAACCCUUGACCACUCUGCUAUUUACACCAUCACAACUACAGGCUCACUGGUCAGCUCUCCACCAUUGAUGACCACCGCUCAACACUUCACACCACCACGAGCUGCCUCGACUCCAUUACAUACCCAGGACGUAACCCCGGGUCCAUAUUACAACACACCAGGCUGUGAUUCCUCCAGUCCACCAGGGGGCAAUAGUCAACUUUUCUCCACACCUCAUGUGUCCCCUAGCAGGACUGACUUGGCAUUUAGCAUGUCACUUAAUCCACAAAACAGCGUGAAGACACACAGUUUCCCCCAAGGACAAGCUUUUACACGCAGAGAUGCACAAGGGGGAUGGAACUUCACCUGGGUUCCUAAACAGUGUUCCUAGAGACAUUUUUGAGGAAUGAUAACUCAGCCUGCUCCAUAUUAACAAGAAACACAAGAACUCUUCACUUUUACAGAUUUUACAAAGCUGUCUAAUACACAAACACAGCAUAUGUCACUAGAUUUAAGACACCUGGAUCAAAUACAUUUUGCAUAUGUCUUUUAUUGCAAAUAAUAGCUCACUGUAACAGAACAAAUGUCUCUUUAAUUGUGAACUGAUGCAUUACAAGUAUCAACAUUGUGAGUCCCAAAUCUUCUCGUGCUACACUAUUAGCGCUAACCUCUCAUUCCCACAGCUGUCCAGCUUUCCUUCCCUCCUUUCCCUAUCACUUUCCCUCCCUCUGUUACUUUCUGGUACGUCUUCUCCAUUUUCCUGCCACUGUGAGACAAAAGAGAGGUCUGGCUAGUCUUGAGGGAGACUUCCUUCCUGAUCUGCCCUGCAAGUCUGAGACCCCCAUGGGGGUCUAAAACGGGAUACUUACACCCCUCUAUCCCUCCCCUCUGCCCAGUCUCUUACUCUGUGCUCUGCCCUCAGGGAGCUGGGGACGAUAGGGAAAGUUUGGGCCUUGAGUUAGCCAUGGAGAAGCCAGGGUGAGUGGUCUCUAAUAACACGGUUAAGCCCCCUGCAGAUGGCCUCCAGAUUGAAAACAGGAAUGAGCACCUUGAGGAGCCUGGAAAAAACGGAGACAGGUUGAAGAACAAUUAAAAGGAGAUGAUACAUGGUUGGGGGUUAGGAAAAGGAAAUGUGUUCAAUACAGUACAUAACAUUUACCUACAAUAACUCAGAAAUUGUCAUUCUGCAAUUCAAUAUUAUACAUAAAACGUACAUAUACUUGCUUAUAUAUUUUGUCUCAGAUUAAACAACAGCCUUUUCCCAUUCAACCUCAAAGUUUUGGACAUUCAAUUAAGUGGAAAAUAGAGUCCUGCAGCGAUGAUGCAUAUUUGUAGACCAAAACCUGUUAACGAGUUCGCAUUUUAGCACUGCAUUUUGUUGAGGGAACCAGGGUGAUUUUUACUUUUACUUACUUUUGUGUUAGCCUACAAAAAUUAGCAUCACUCUAUAUACAGUACAAUGGAAAGGAGACCAAGCCAGCCGGUACUUAUUGCCUAGGGUCGUAGUGCCUUCACAGUUUGUUUGUCAUGAUGGGGUGGAUAAAUCUGUGUUCAAAAUUGGAAACAAUCAUUCCAGCAUCCGGAGAUUUGAAACCAAAGGAUGGCCAAUUUUUGAUUGUCAUACAGUAUAAUACACACAUAAAUACAGAAGAACAGGUGUUGAAAUAAAAUACAUCAUAACCCUAUACCUCAAAAAAAAUUGGUAAACCAGACACAUGAUGUCUUAUGAUGGUUAUUAAUUAUCUGCAGGCUCUUGGCUGUUCCUUGCACCUCUUCUAUUAUAACCAAGAACACCAUUUACACUUUAUCAGCCAUAAUACAAAAAGUACUCUAUAAUUCUACUUCUAACUAUGCUGUCAAACUAAUAUGGGUUUCCCUUUGGCUAACUGAAUAGAACAAAACUGUUCUACAACUCCCUGGAUCACAAUUCACAGUUCAGUGACUAUUGUGAGGCAUACUAAUUCAGAAGCAGCAGCUAUGCUUAUAUUUGAGUGUAAGCAAAUAAAUCAUACCUGUAGUAAGUUGGUUUAGGUGUUAGACAUUGGGAGAAUACGCAACAGAGUUAAAGUUAAUGUGUAAGCAGGCCGUGUGUGCAUCUCUAAUUAAGGAAGCCCUGUUCUCUUGAUCUCUAGUAGGCCUGAAGUAAUACAUCAUGUAUAAAGUAGAGAGAGUAUGCUGGAAUGCUGUUCUGCCCGCUAUAAUAGUUAAUGUGUUUCUAUGGUUGUGA